CGCAUCUGUGCAUGCAGCAUAUCAAUAAGCGGAGGAAAAGAAACUAACAAGGAUUCCCUUAGUAACGGCGAGUGAAGCGGGAAGAGCUCAAAUUUGAAAUCUUCAAGGUUUUACCUUGACGAAUUGUAGUUUAAAGAAGUGUUUUCUGUUGAAGUUUUGGUAAAAGCUCUUUGGAAUAGGACAUCAUAGAGGGUGAGAAUCCCGUAUUUGACCAUUAUUUUCAGCUGUGUGAUACACUUUCAAAGAGUCGGAUUGUUUGGGAAUGCAGUCCAAAAUGGGUGGUAAAUUUCAUCUAAAGCUAAAUAUUGGCGAGAGACCGAUAGCGAACAAGUACCGUGAGGGAAAGAUGAAAAGAACUUUGAAAAGAGAGUUAAACAGUACGUGAAAUUGUCAAAAGGGAAGCGUUUGACACCAGUGUUGUUUUCUCGAAAAUCAAUUAAAAAGAGUUAGAUUUUGUUGUGUAUUGACCUUAACAGCUUGCAUUUCAAUUAUCUUGCUUUUUUAAUGCACUUUUCGUUUAACAAGUCAACAUCAGUUUCUUUUGUUGUAAAAAGGUCAUUGGAAGGUGGCUUUCUUUUCGGAGAAAGUGUUUAUAGCCUUUGACUCCUGCAAUCGGAGAGACUGAGGUCUGCAGCGUAGAUCCUUCGGGGUUAGAUACAUUUGUGCUAGGUUAUAGCUUUUUAUAGACAACUUGUUGACUAUGAUUAGUCUUGUAGCUUACUCGCUUAUGCUAUUUUACCUACGCUUAGGAUGUUGACGCGCGUGUGUGCGUG
rnacentral:rRNA from 1 species